rnacentral:rRNA from 1 species
AACGAACGCUGGCGGCAUGCCUAACACAUGCAAGUCGAACGAGACCUUCGGGUCUAGUGGCGCACGGGUGCGUAACGCGUGGGAACCUGCCCUUAGGUUCGGAAUAACUCCCCGAAAGGGGUGCUAAUACCGGAUAAUGUCUUCGGACCAAAGAUUUAUCGCCUUUGGAUGGGCCCGCGUUGGAUUAGCUAGUUGGUAGGGUAAAAGCCUACCAAGGCGACGAUCCAUAGCUGGUCUGAGAGGAUGAUCAGCCACACUGGGACUGAGACACGGCCCAGACUCCUACGGGAGGCAGCAGUGGGGAAUAUUGGACAAUGGGCGAAAGCCUGAUCCAGCAAUGCCGCGUGAGUGAUGAAGGCGGUAGGGUUGUAAAGCUCUUUUACCCGGGAUGAUAAUGACAGUACCGGGAGAAUAAGCUCCGGCUAACUCCGUG